rnacentral:sRNA from 1 species
CUUGGUCAUUUAGAGGAAGUAAAAGUCGUAACAAGGUCUCCGUUGGUGAACCAGCGGAGGGAUCAUUACCGAGUUAUUCAACUCAUCAACCCUGUGAACAUACCUAAACGUUGCUUCGGCGGGAACAGACGGCCCCGUGAAACGGGCCGCCCCCGCCAGAGGACCCCUAACUCUGUUUCUAUAAUGUUUCUUCUGAGUAAAACAAGCAAAUAAAUUAAAACUUUCAACAACGGAUCUCUUGGCUCUGGCAUCGAUGAAGAACGCAGCGAAAUGCGAUAAGUAAUGUGAAUUGCAGAAUUCAGUGAAUCAUCGAAUCUUUGAACGCACAUUGCGCCCGCCAGUAUUCUGGCGGGCAUGCCUGUUCGAGCGUCAUUACAACCCUCAGGCCCCCGGGCCUGGCGUUGGGGAUCGGCGGAGCCCCCCGUGGGCACACGCCGUCCCCCAAAUACAGUGGCGGUCCCGCCGCAGCUUCCAUCGCGUAGUAGCUAACACCUCGCGACUGGAGAGCGGCGCGGCCACGCCGUAAAACACCCAACUCUUCUGAAGUUGACCUCGAAUCAGGUAGGAAUACCCGCUGAACUUAAGCAUAUCAAUAAGCGGAGGAAAAGAAACCAACAGGGAUUGCCCCAGUAACGGCGAGUGAAGCGGCAACAGCUCAAAUUUGAAAUCUGGCUCUCGGGCCCGAGUUGUAAUUUGUAGAGGAUGCUUUUGGUGAGGUGCCUUCCGAGUUCCCUGGAACGGGACGCCAUAGAGGGUGAGAGCCCCGUCUGGUUGGACGCCGAACCUCUGUAAAGCUCCUUCGACGAGUCGAGUUGUUUGGGAAU